CAGAAAAUAAUAUAUAUAGUAUAUAAAUUUUGGAGAUUUAUUGUGAUAAAAUCUUUUCUGA
rnacentral:tRNA from 1 species